CAGCACCACAAGUGGGGACCAUGUUUAUUGGGCCUAAAGCGUCCGUAGCCGGCCUUGUAAAUUCUAUGUGAAAUCGUUGGGCUUCACCCAACGGCGUGCAUGGAACACUGCAAGGCUCGAGACCAAGAGGAGUCAGAGGUAUUCUGGGGGGAGCGGUAAAAUGCUAUAAUCCCUGGAGGACCACCUGUGGCGAAGGCGUCUGACCAGAAUGGUUCUGACGGUGAGGGACGAAAGCUAGGGGAGCAAACCGGAUUAGAUACCCGAGUAGUCC
rnacentral:rRNA from 1 species